rnacentral:misc_RNA from 1 species
AAAGUCGUAACAAGGUUUCCGUAGGUGAACCUGCGGAAGGAUCAUUAACACGUAUCCAUACGUAUUAUAUACCAAACCGUGAACUCGUUUGAAAAUAAACUGAAGAAGAGGGAAGCGAUUGGGAUUCAUUCCGAUUGUGACUCUUUUCUUGUAUCUUAUUUCAACUUAUAAACCACUUGUAACCAAUUGUACUAAACAAACUAAGAAAGUGUAGUCUGUGUAUGUCUAACAUACGCUUCUUCGCUUUUUGUAUUUACGAAACGUAAAAACAAUUCUUAGCAACGGAUAUCUUGGUUCUC